rnacentral:snRNA from 1 species
AUUCAUACCUUGUAGGGGAAAUACCAUGUUGUAAAAAUGGUUUUCCCCAGGGAGAGGCUUAUCCAUUGCACUUUGGGUAUGCUGUUGACCCCUGUGAUUUCCUUAAAUGUGGGGAACUCAACUACAUAAUUUGUGUUAAUGGGGACAUUAUGUUUGUGAUUUUUCUG